AUGUUUUCAAUAGCUCUGCUGCUGCUGUUGGCAGCUGGAUGCUCUAAAUGUGAGCAGUUGACGCAGCCGGCCUCUGUGACUGUGCAGCCCGGUCAACGUCUGACCAUCACCUGUCAGGUUUCUUAUAGUCCGAGCAGCUACCGCACAGCAUGGAUCAGAGAGCCUGCAGGGAAAGGACUGGAAUUGAUUGGAAGUGGCCGUGUUGGAUACACCACAUACUACAAAGAUUCACUGAAGAGCAAGUUUAGUAUCGACUUAGAUGCUUCCAGUAAAACAGUGACUCUAAACGGACAGAAUGUGCAGCCUGGAGACACGGCUGUGUAUUACUGUGCUAGAAACCCACAGUAA